rnacentral:rRNA from 1 species
UUGAAGUGGGGGCAUCUGUAGACAUGUAAAUUUCGUUGCAUGCAAAUGAUGCAUCACAAAGCUCCACAUGGCAUAUGACUCAUCAAAAAUAGACAAGUCAUCAAUGAUAUGUGGCACAAAUCAAGCAAAGGAAGUACAACACCUUCCCAAAAGUUGGCAAAAGGGAGAAAAUCCCUCUUAAAAUCAACAAGGGGUCCAAAUUGCUCCCAAAACCAGAAAGAAAUCUAAAGCAUCUUCACAAAACAAGCAAGAAUUGAAGAUUCCUCACAAAAUGGGCAAGAAAGCCCUAUAAUUAGGCCAAGCAAGGGAAAGUGGCUGAAAUUAAGACACAAAACAUGCCUAAAUUCUCCCAUGGAUGAAUCAAGACACAAAUCAAAGCCAAAUCCAUCCAAAGGAAGGCUUUGAGAAGUCUAUAAAUACAAGGUCCUUAGACAAGCAUAAAGGUUGACAAUUUCUACAUUCAAGAUCUACAAUUUCUACAUUCAAGGUGGACAAUUUCUACAUUGCAAGGCAAUUCUACAUCCAGAGAAACCUCUGCACCAAAUCUUUGAAGACUAAUACGCUACAAAAGUUCUCUUCAAAGAACACGCAACCAAAGCAGAAGCUUUCUUUUGACCAAAGCCGAAGCAUUCCCUUAAAGAAUCAAUAACCACUUGUGCCUCUUCCUUCAAGACUUUGUUGUAAGCUCAAAUCGGGUAAAGCCAAUGAUUAGAGGCAUCAGGGGCGCAACGCCUUUGACCUAUUCUCAAACUUUAAAUAGGUAGGACGGCGCAGCUGCUUCAUUAAGCCACGCCACGGAAUUGAGAGCUCUAUAUCGGCCAUUUUUGGUACGCAAAACUGGCGAUGCAGGAUGAACCGGAAGCCAAGUUAUGGUGCCCAACUACACGCUAACCUAGAACCCACAAAGGGUGUUGGUCGAUUAAGACAGCAGGACGGUGGUCAUGGAAGUCGAAAUCCGUUAUAGAGUGUGUAACAACUCACUUGUAAAUCAAUUAGCCCCAAAAAUGGAUGGCGCUGAGGCACGCGACCUAUACCCGGCCGUCGGGGCAAGCGCCAAGCCCCAAUGAGUAGGAGGGCACGACGGUCGCUACAAAAUCUGGGGCGCGAGCCCAGGUGGAGCGACCGUCAGUGCAGAUCUUGGUGGUAGUAGCAAAUAUUCAAAUGAGAACUUUGAAGGUUGAAGAGGGGAAAGGUUCCAUGUGAACGGUAAUUGCACAUGGGUCAGUCGAUCCUAAGAGACGGGGGAAGCCCAUCUGAUAGCGUGUCUAAUGCGAACGUCGAAAGGGAAUCGGGUUAAAAUUCCUGAACCAGGACGUGGCGGUUGACGGCGACGUUAGGAAGUCCAAAGACGUCAGCAAGGCCCUCAGAAAGAGUCAUCUUUUAUGUUUAACAACCUGCCCACCCUGGAAAUGGCUCAGCCGGAGGUAGGGUCCAGCGGCUGAAAAAACACUGCACGCCGCGCGAUGUCCGAUACGCCCCCGGCAGCCCUUGAAAAUCUGGAGGACCGAGUAUCGUUAGCACCCAGUCAUUCUCAUAACCGCAUCAGGUCUCUAAGGUGAACAGCCUCUAGUCGAUGGAACAAUAUAGGCAAGGGAAGUCGACAAAAUGGAUCUGUAACUUCGGGAAAAGGAUUAGCUUUGAGGAAUAGGCAUAGGGGUCCCAGCCUGGAACCCGUCGGCUGUCGACGGACUGCUCGAGCUGCUCCAGCGACAAGAGCGAGUCGCCGCGUGCCGGCUGGGGGAAAGACUGGGAACGGUCAUUUCGGGGACCUUUCCCGGGCAGCGAACAUUCAGCUCAAAAUUGGUACGAACAAGGGGAAUCUGACUGUUUAAUUAAAACAAAGCAUUCGAUGGUCCCUGAGGAUGCUAAUGCAAUGUGAUUUUUGCCCAGUGCUCUGAAUGUCAAAGUGAAGAAAUUCAACCAAGCAUGGGUAAACAGCGGGAGUAACUAUGACUUUCUUAAGGUAGCUAAAUGCCUCGUCAUCUAAUUAGUGACGUGCAUAAAUAGAUUAACGAGAUUUUCACUGUCCCUGUCUAUUAUCCAGCGAAACCACAGCCAAGGGAACAGGCUUGGCAGAAUCAGCGAGGAAAGAAGACCUUGUUGAGCUUGACUCUAGUCUGACUUUGUGAAAUGACUUGAGAGGUGUAGUAUAAGUAGAAGCCUGACGGCGAAAUUGAAAUACCACUACUUUUAACGUUAUUUUACUUAUUCUGUGCAUCGGAGGUGGGGCAUCGCCCUUUUUUUUGGAACAAAGGUCUGCUCGUAGGCUGAUCCAGGCAUAAGACAUUGUCAGGUGGGGAGUUUGGCUGGGGCGGCACAUCUGUUAAAAAUAGCGCAUGUGUCCUAAGAUGAGCUCAACGAGAACAGAAAUCUCGUGUGGAACAAAAGGGUAAAAGCUUGUUUGAUUUUGAUUUCCAGUACGAAUACAAACCGUGAAAACAUGGCCUAUUGAUCCUUUAGACCUUCGAAAUUUGAAGCUAGAGGUGUCAGGAAAGUUACCACAAGGAUAACUGGCUUAUGGCAGCUAAGCAUUCAUAGCGACGUUGCUUUUUUAUCCUUCAAUGUCGGCUCUUCCUAUUGUUGUGAAGUAGAAUUCACCAAGUGUUGGAUUGUUCACCCACCAAUAGGGAACGUGAGCUGGGUUUAGACCGUCGUGAGACAGGUUAGUUUUACCCUACUAAUGACAGCGUCGCAAUAGUAAUUCAACCUAGUACGAGAGGAACCGUUGAUUCGCACAAUUGGUCAUCACGCUUGGUUGAAAAGCCAGUGGCGCGAAGCUACCGUGCGCUGGAUUAUGGUUAAACGCCUCUAAGUCAGAAUUCAGGCUAGAAGCGAUGCGUGCACCCGCCGUCCAAUUGCCGACCUGCAGUAGGGGCCUCGACCCCCAAAGGCUCAUGUCAAUGGUCAAGCUGUCACGACGGUCGAGCCGUGCUGGCCACCUUGAAUCGUAAUUUCCACCAAGU